AAUGAAGACAUGCCAUAUUAAAAAAACAAGAAAACUGGACAACAUUUUAAUUGAUUUUAAUUGCUAUUUAUAGCACAAGUAUCUGGGCUCUUGAUUCUUUUUAAUACAAGCGUCAUGUGCAGCAGUUUCUUCUAGAAUCCAUCUGUGUUCUUUCUAAGUGCUCUAUCCAGUGCAGGGUCAUAGGGGAGCUGAAGCCUAUCCCAACAAAAAGGCAGGAUAAGCCCUGGACAAUAUGCCAGUCCAUCGCAGGGUCAGAUGUCCUCCGAGGCGGGGCGAGAGAAAUCUGCAAAAGGUGAAGUCUAUUCAUGGUUGAAUUCCCCUGGCGCGUUUUCAC